rnacentral:rRNA from 1 species
UACGUAGGGUGCGAGCGUUAAUCGGAAUUACUGGGCGUAAAGCGUGCGCAGGCGGUUCGUUAAGUUCGAUGUGAAAGCCCCGGGCUCAACCUGGGAAUGGCAUUGAAAACUGGCGGGCUUGAGUCUGGCAGAGGGGGGUGGAAUUCCGCGUGUAGCAGUGAAAUGCGUAGAGAUGCGGAGGAACACCGAUGGCGAAGGCAGCCCCCUGGGCCAAGACUGACGCUCAGGCACGAAAGCGUGGGGAGCAAAC